GGGGCGCGUCGCCGAGGGGGCAGCGCGAGCUCAACCCGGGGCCCCUGCGGCCUAGGCGGGGAGUGUCGGGUUCAGUGUGGUUGAAACGAAACAAGUCUGAUAAAGUGAUCUCAAGGGGUGCGGUUUCAGUUGAGAACUGAUGAUAGAAAAGGAAGAUGUCCAAAGAUAAAAAGCAAGUCUGAAAGCAGGAAGGCAAAUAGAAGGAGGAAGCAAGAGUUGAGAGGAAAUAGAACAGAAGGAAGACAGAUUUCGAUGGAGCCAGCAGGAAAAAACAAAGACUUCAACAAAUAUUAGACACCUGCUAUAUGCAAUGAACCAUGAUACACACUUGGUAUAAAAGACAGAAAGAAAGAAAGAAAGAAAGAAAGAAAGAAAGAAAGAAAGAAAGAAGAAAGAAAGGAGUUUACA
rnacentral:lncRNA from 1 species